rnacentral:lncRNA from 1 species
GGGUGGAGACGGUGGCGGCUUGGCAGAGGUUCCGGGAUCUGGAGGGGGAGAAGACCGCCAUGACCGGAAGAGGAGAGAAGGAGAGCGGCGAAGGCGGUGGAGACGGUGGCGGCCUGGCAGAGGUUCCGGGAUCUGGAAGGGGAGAAGACCGCCAUGGCCGGGAGAGAGGAGAAGGAGAGCGGUAGAGGGUGGAGAUGGUGGCGGCCUGGCAGAGGUUUCAGGAUCUGGAGGGGGAGACCGCCAUGGCCGGGAGAGGGGAGAAGGAGAGCAGCGGAGGCGGUGGAAAUGACGGCGGCGGUGAGGGUGGUCGUGGUGGUGGUCGACGGUUGAAGAUGGAAUGUGGGUGAGAGAGACGGUGAAGACGAGAAGAGAG